rnacentral:rRNA from 1 species
CGUACUGGCAUUGUUGGUUUCUCCCUUCUGACGAACCAUGAUGUCAUUUAUUUGGUGUUGUGGGGAAUCAGGACUGUUACUUUGAAAAAAUUAGAGUGUUUAAAGCAGGCUCACGCUUGAAUACAUUAGCAUGGAAUAAUGAAAUAGGACGUUUGAUUCUAUUUUGUUGGUUUCUAGGAUCGACGUAAUGAUUAAUAGGGAUAGUUGGGGGCAUUAGUAUUCAAUUGUCAGAGGUGAAAUUCUUGGAUUUAUUGAAGACUAACUACUGCGAAAGCAUUUGCCAAGGAUGUUUUCAUUAAUCAAGAACGAAAGUUAGGGGAUCGAAGACGAUCAGAUACCGUCGUAGUCUUAACCAUAAACUAUGCCGACUAGGGAUCGGAUGAUGUUAAUUUUUUAAUGACUCAUUCGGCGCCUUACG